rnacentral:rRNA from 1 species
UACGUAGGGGGCAAGCGUUGUCCGGAUUUAUUGGGCGUAAAGAGCGUGUAGGCGGCCAAGACAGGUCAGCUGUGAAAACUCGAGGCUCAACCUCGAGACGUCGGUUGAAACCGUCUGGCUAGAGUCCGGAAGAGGAGAGUGGAAUUCCCGGUGUAGCGGUGAAAUGCGCAGAUAUCGGGAAGAACACCCGUGGCGAAGGCGGCUCUCUGGGACGGUACUGACGCUGAGACGCGAAAGCGUGGGGAGCGAACAGG